rnacentral:tRNA from 3 species
CGGUGAUUAGGCAAGUGGUAUGCCGCCUGCUUUGGGAGCAGAUAGUCAGAGGUUCGAGCCCUCUAUCACCGACCA